UUUCCGUAGGUGAACCUGCGGAAGGAUCAUUAUUAAAUAACCGAGUUGCGAGGGCUGUCACUGAUCCGUAUGGUCGUUCACGCCCAAGUCCCUUCACACAGAUCCAUCUCACCCUUCUGUGAACCACAGCGAGGGUUCCACUUUCGCUCGUUUGGUGGCGUGCUUACAUUUUACUACAUACUUUAUAUGAAUUGUAGCCAGUAUUUUUUGUUUUUGCGAUCAGGCAAUCAAUGCAACUUUCAACAACGGCUCACUUGGCACUCGCAUCGAUGAAGAACA
rnacentral:misc_RNA from 1 species